rnacentral:rRNA from 1 species
ACUCAAAUGAAUUGACGGGGGCUCACACAAGCGGUGGAGCAUGUGGCUUAAUUCGAGGCUACGCGAAGAACCUUAUCCUGGGCUUGACAUGUGCGAAAGCGGUAGGUGUUGUAGCCGGCGGAAACGUUCGGCGAAUCCCGCAAGGGAGGGCCUACUACAGGUGUUGCAUGGCUGUCGUCAGCUCGUGUCGUGAGAUGUCGGGUUAAGUCCCAUAACGAGCGAAACCCCUGUCUCCAGUUGCCAGCGUUAAGUCGGGGACUCUGGAGAGACUGCCGGUGUUAAACCGGAGGAAGGUGGGGAUGACGUCAAGUCCUCAUGGCCUUUAUGCCCAGGGCUGCACACGUGCUACAAUGGCAUGCACAAAGGGAAGCAAACUCGCGAGAGGGAGCAAAUCCCAAAAAACAUGCCCCAGUUCAGAUCGAAGGCUGCAACUCGCCUUCGUGAAGUUGGAAUCGCUAGUAAUCGCGGGUCAGCAACACCGCGGUGAAUGUGUUCCUGAGCCUUGCACACACCGCCCGU